AAUUAGGGUGAUCUCAAGUCUAAUCAGGUUCAUUCUAGAACAGGAUGCCUUUCAGGUUUCUUGGAGCCCUUGGCCAGCAAGACUUGACUCUUCCUUCCUGGCUGUCUCACUGUGGAUGAGUUACUUAUCUUCCAUGAACCUCAGUUUUCAUCCAUGAAAUGGGGAUGAUAAUAGUACCAAUCUCGUAGGAUUGUGAUGGCAGUUAAGUGAAAUAAUACAUAAGCAGCACUGGCGUACUGCCUGGCGCACAGGAAGGGACGCUCAGUCAUUCUGGGCUGUCACGUGGUUCUGCGGCAGCAGCCAACUCUAAGUCUUCUUUGCCUCAAAACCCAUUAUUGUCUCUGUCCUGCAGAUGGGAAAACUCAGACCAGGAGCCAGGCCUGGUAUCCCAGACUCUUACCCUUUGGCAGACUGGACCAGCUUUCCCCCUUUCCUAGCACAAUGAAUGGGGAAGAGUGUGGGGUCCUGAGGCAUCUGGAGGAUUCUGGAGGGCCCAUCCGUCUCUCUUGGUGAGUAUCACAGAACCCCAAGGCCUCUGAAACCACCAAGUCCCAUGAAGAAGGUUCAGAGAUGGGGAGGCUGAGGCCACAACAGGGGAGCCGUGCAGAAGAGCUAUCUGCAUGUUUGUCUUCCCCAUUUGAAAGCGAGCUCCCGCCUUGAAGCCAGAGGCCAUGGAGCUGGCGUUGUCCCAGCUCCAUGCUGGGAUGUGAACCAGGUGUGAAUGAAUCCUUGUAGCCACGUAGAGACAUCGGGAAGGCUGACACAUCCAGGAGGACCCCAAACUCUACAUCCCUACUCUGAAACCUGAUCAGAACCCCACCACUAUCAUUUGCAAUAUGCUAGCACCCUCAAAGGGUGUAGUGUGAGAGGUGGGGCAGAGAACCUGGCGGUGCAGGAUGUACGGAGCAGGCGCAUUACCUCUCUCCAUCAUCACAUCCUCCUCACACUCCCCUCACAGGUGGGGCAGGGCCAAAGUGCCAUUCAACACAUGGAGAAAUGGAGCGGCACUAGAGAGGUAAGGGGGCUGUUACACACGGCUGUUUCCAUAGAAAAACCAAGACCUAUCGAUCUACAGAGAAAGCAUGGAGACAGAAAAGCAGAAAGUCAAGAGAGAAGAAACCUCAGGAUUUCCAGCCACUAGAGAAGACUCAUUGGCCUGGACAAAUCCCAACUUCCCUCAACUUUCCUGAACCCUCGCCUUAAGUGGCUUCCAGUAAGCUCCCAAACCUGGGUGGCGCCUGCACACCCCAGGGCAAGCCAGGCUGACCUCCUCAGAGCCUGAGUCAGGGCUUUCCCCAUCUCAGCACCCAUCCCACUGAACUGGAAUUUCAAGGUCACUUGUCUGUCUCUUCCUCUGGACCUGAAGGCAGAGGCUGCAUCCAGAGCUUCCUGGAAUCCCCUACAAGGCCUGGCAUAGCGACAGGCAAAGUUCGGUGAGCCAUGCAUAAAUGGAAUCAGGCCUCUCAGUCCCCUUGUCUGUGAAAUAAGACAUGUGGGCCAGGCGAUGACUGCCAUCUCUUCCAACCUUGGGUGGGCCCCCCACCGUGUCACCAUGACCCAUUGUGUGUGUGUGCCGCGGAGUCAGGGGAGGCACCAGGUUCCUGGAUGUAACCAAAGGCCCUCAGGGCCUGGUGGACGGUCCUGCACAGUGGGAGGAGUUGGUCAUCUGGCCUCAGCUGACCCUGGCUUGUGGUUUUCACGAACUUAGGAAAAGAAAACUCAGCUUGGGGAGCUGGGCAGAGAGCAGGAGUCCCAGCCUGGUGUGGCUGCAUUAGAGUCAGGUCCCUGCAGUCCCACCAGGGAUUCCAUGGGUGCUCUCCUGCUGUCCUCUAAUGCCCAGGAGCUCACGGUGGGGUUUGCUUUACUUCUGACUGAGGCAGAACUGCAAGCAUCUGCCCUAUUUGAUGCACAGAGAGAGUGCAACUUACUGGACUUACUGCAGGAGCCGCAUCCAACAACAGAGCAGAUGGAUCCAGGAAGAAGGAGCGCAUGCCAACAAGUGAGAAAGUACCUCGGGGACAAUGUUCCGGUCAAGUCGUUUGAGUGUGUGACCUGAAGCCCUCAUGCAAACCUCCACUGACUCCCUCUCCUAGGUCCCUUCCAAAACAUUCCAGGGACCGUGCUAAUAAGAGGAGCUAGUUAUUUCUGUUCGUGUUCAA